rnacentral:rRNA from 1 species
AUUGAACGCUGGCGGCAGGCCUAACACAUGCAAGUCGAGCGGAUGAAGGGAGCUUGCUCCUGGAUUCAGCGGCGGACGGGUGAGUAAUGCCUAGGUAUCUGCCUGGUAGUGGGGGCUAACGUCAGGAACGGGGCGGUAAUACCGCAUACGUCCUGAGGGGGAAAGUGGGGGAUCUUCGGAGCUUACGUUGUUGGUUGGGCCUUGGUCGGACUAGCUAGUUGGUGGGGUAGAGGCCUACAAAGGCGACGAUCCGAAAGUGGUCUCAGAGGAUGAACAGUCACACGGUAAGUGAGACACGGCCCCCACUCCUGCGCGGGGAAGCGGCCGGGAAUAUUGCGCGAUGGGCGAAAGCCUAAUCCAACCAUGCCGGGUGAGUGAAGAAGGUCUUCUGAUGGUAGAGCACUGAAAGUUGUGAGGAAGGAAAGUAAUUUAAGACCGGACGGUAUUGACGUUACCAGCAGAAGAAGCACCGGCUAACUUCGUG